rnacentral:misc_RNA from 1 species
UCUCCGUUGGUGAACCAGCGGAGGGAUCAUUACAGGACUCGCAAGACUCCUACAACCCUGUGAACUUAACUAUAAGCACGUUGCUUCGGCGGGUGUCUCGGAGGGGGUUCUCCCUCCCCGAGACGCUAAACCCGCCGGCAGCCUACUAUACUCUGUCUCUUUGCGUUGGCAUCUCGAGUGCAAUCAAACAAGUUAAAACUUUCAACAACGGAUCUCUUGGUUCUG